GACGAGAUGAUGGCACAGUAGAAAU
rnacentral:piRNA from 1 species